ensembl:lncRNA
GAAAAAAGGCGCACCUUCUUCCAAAGACGCGCUUUCUAUAUCAAAUGCGCUCUCGGGUUGAAGACAAUUAUGUUCUAUAAAUCUGAGCUCGGUUGUGAAGCACUAUUAGUCAGAUCAGAUGUCACUCUGAGCAGUGGGCCAGUGAGAGCUGUGGAAUUUGAUACCUCUGCGUCAUCAGCGGUGAAGGGUGGGGGCAGUGAGUGACCCCUUCCAUGUCCGCCGGGGAUGACUGCGGUGGACCCUGGGAUAUGUAGUUUUCGGCUGUUUGUAUACAAAGCUCGCACGCAGAAAAGCUUUCGCAUAUGUGUCUCGGAGAAUACCAAUUUAUAAUAAUCAUAUUACAAGUUAUGGAUGAUCAACGGCGCCAUGGAGAGGAAUGGACGCGCGUCUGGUGAGGCUAUAAGCGUGUUAGUUACUUUUUUUAUCUUUGAAUCUUUAUUUUGAAACGUGAAAGCACAGCUGAUAAACUGUUUAUGACAGAAAAGUACAGUACAUGAUGCAUUUCAGUAAAUAUACAGUAAAUACACAUGGAUUAUUACAGUGCUGUGUGGAUGAACAUAUAUUUGUUUCUUUGACACGCUGAAGGCCAUAUAGCAGCUCGCGACCAAACAGACAGAGAGGAUGCUGAAGAUGCAGAAGUGAUACAGGGAUGCCGAGCUUCCUGGUUGCACACAUCACACCGCUCAUGACGUCUUGUUUCUCCACUUGACUGAUUCCACAUGUGCUCCAGAAUGUGGUCACACAGAGGCAUUCCCAAAGCCUUUGCAGAAAAUGCCCAUUGGACACGUGAUCACUGCUCCUCUGGCUGGGAAUUAACUCUUAAGAAAGACAAAGUGAAAGAGCUUUGCUCACAGAGAGAUUGGCAGCUGUGUGGAAGAUUCCCUCUCCAGGAGGAACACUUCCUACCCACACAAUCAAAGAGCCAAAAUGAACAGCAGAUGACUCUAGAGGAGGUAAGCACAACCCCGUGAGCCAAGAAGACAACAUGCUGAUUUCCCAAGAUCCUGCUGCAGUACUUCACGCUGUGCUGCCCAACUCAGGAAGCAAUACACGAUAUCCGCGUGUAGUCGACAGCAAAUACCUUUGAUUUUACACUCUGCUGACAUGUAAGGCCUGCACGAGCAGGAUUGCAGCCUCUUAGUUUUACCCUGUGUGUUUUGGGAUCGGUUUCUUUCUAUAUUACAGUUCUAUUUCAGUGUUAAAGACAAUUGUUCUGUGUGUGCUCAGGGAAAUAGAGAUCUUCCCCUCCCACUCUUUGGUAUUUAACACAGAUCACCAACCACAGGAAUGGAUUUUCCCUCUUAGCAACAGCAUGAUUGCUCUCACGUUCAGAUGUUCGGUGCAAUAUUGUGCUUCAGUGAGUGGUGCUGGUGGGAAACAUGCAGGCCAAGGCAGAUAUUUUAGCUGCUUUCUAUUCCCCUCCAUUUACCAGAGCCCAUAAAUAUGACGUGCUGUAACCUUCCCACUAUGCCCUAUGCAGAUCAGUCAUGCUGCUUACAUGUUUUAUUCAUGAUGUACAGCCAUUGAUUUCGCCAAGCAUGAUCAAAUUUAACUCCGCUACUUUGAGGGCAUAAAAUGAUGAUGGGUCUGAUGCACCACAGGCCACAUGUAAACUUGAAAUAAUCAUAAUCAAAUUGUCUAUAUAUUAGUGUAAACCUGUAAAGUUAUGUGCAUUUAUUAUCCGUGCAAUCCUGAGGAGAACUGGAUUUAUCUUUAGUGAGAUGGUAAUUGUGUGACGUUUUCCACAGCUAGCAAUGAAAUACAUUGUGAAAUGUGGCAGGAUCAAAAGUGUUCCAUGUGGAACACGCUAACAUCUCUUCAUUUUUUUUCAGAUGUUACAAGGCUUACGCUGGCUGUAAAUAAGUCUCUGAGGUUUGGGAUGUGACAUGAUGGGGUUUGGGAAUGGAAAGGACCAUUUGAAUCUUGAUUUACUGGACUGUUGAGGCCUUUGAACUGGUAGAUGUACCACAUGAGUUUACUAGAAAAAUAAAUAAAAAUAAACACAAAUAAACA